GAUGAAGAACGUAGCGAAAUGCGAUAAGUAAUGCGAAUUGCAGAUUUCAGUGAGUCAUCGAAUCUUUGAACGCACAUUGCGCCCCCUGGUAUUCCGGGGGGCAUGCCUGUUCGAGCGUCAUUUCACCACUCAAGCCUCGCUUGGUAUUGGGCAACGCGGUCCGCCGCGUGCCUCAAAUCGACCGGCUGGGUCUUCUGUCCCCUAAGCGUUGUGGAAACUACUCGCUAAAGGGUGUUCGGGAGGCUACGCCGUAAAACAACCCCAUUUCUAAGGUUGACCUCGGAUCAGGUAGGGAUACCCGCUGAACUUAAGCAUAUCUAUAAGCGGAGGA
rnacentral:misc_RNA from 1 species